rnacentral:rRNA from 1 species
UACGGGGGGGGCAAGCGUUGUUCGGAAUUACUGGGCGUAAAGGGCUCGUAGGUGGCCAACUAAGUCAGACGUGAAAUCCCUCGGCUUAACCGGGGAACUGCGUCUGAUACUGGAUGGCUUGAGUUUGGGAGAGGGACGCGGAAUUCCAGGUGUAGCGGUGAAAUGCGUAGAUAUCUGGAGGAACACCGGUGGCGAAGGCGGCGUCCUGGACCAACACUGACACUGAGGCGCGAAAGCGUGGGGAGCAAACAGG